rnacentral:lncRNA from 1 species
UUCGCAUUUUUUCAUUUUAGUAUCAUGUGGUUUAAAGUCUAUCAAGUUAGUACCAUGUGGUUUCGCAUUUUCUCACUUUAGUACCCUGUGAUUUAAAGUGUAUCAAGUUAGUACUCUGUGGUUUUAUCUUUGUAUCAAGUUAGUACCCCGUGAUUUUAUUUUUCUCUUAAUGAAACAUUAAACCACGGGGUACUAAAGUGAGAAAGUGCGAAACCAAAGGGUACAAACUUGAUACACUAUAAAUCAUAGAAUACUAAAGUAAAAAAAAGUGAAAUCACAAGUGGGGUAUUUAAAGUUUUUUCUAUAAAAUAUUUAUAUUCAAGUUGUUAUCGAGCCGAACACGAACGAGCUGAUUCCAGCUCAUAUUCAACUCGUUUAUUAAACGAGCUGAAAAUUUUAGCUCAUGUUCGGCUCAUUUAGUAAACGAGCGAUUCAAUAUAUAUCGAGCC